UUAGGUAAAAUAUGAAGCAAAAUCGCCCAGCAUUAAGAAAAAUAAAAUGAUCGUAAGAGUUUCACUUUAUUUUUCAUUCAUUUUUCAUCGAAUAGAUCGAAAUAAGGAUGGUGCUACUCAAUAGAAAAUGAAAAACUGAGACUUUCAUUUCGUUAUGAUGUCUGAACCGAGUGAGAGAGUACAGGUACUUUGUUUUACAUAAUGCACACCAUUACAUGUGCUGAUGACAAAGCCCUCAAACUAAUUUUAUUGCAUCAGACUUAUUCAUAGAUACUAUAAACUAGAAGAUGUAUCUGCUUCUUCAUGGGCAGAACACAACCCUAUAGUUGGUCCCGCCAGGGCAUGUAAAUGUACUUGUUUGGUCAUCCUUAGGGUAGCUGUAAGCAUCCGGGCACCGACUCUUGAAAAACCUAGAGAAAUCUGUAGGGCCACAGCUCCCAGAAUUGCAGCAAUAUUCAUUAGUCUUGAACACAGUGCAAGGGUUGUUGCAGCCUCCUUCAGCCCUCAGUUGGCUAGGACACUGCCCGUUAAUAUCAGCCGUACAUUUGAUACCCCUAGUGCACCCAUUAGACGUGGGACUAAAGUCCAUGGGAACAUUAAAGCCAUCAACAAGGGAAAUGUCAAAGAAAUCCAAGUUGUUAAAUUGGUUAAGGCCAUAUUCAGCUAGGGUGUUUGGGGCUUGGCCAUAGGCUUGGCAUUGGAGGAUACCACCACAAUCACCUGUUUGGCAUCUCCCACGUCCAGCUCCAUCAAAGGUACAUCCGGUCCGGGCCCAAACGCGACCCCCUUUGGUUCCGGCAGCCACGUCUAUGCCCCAACUUUCGCCUCUAUUAAGUUGGCGUCCGCCGCCUGGCGUGGCGGCUGCCCAGACGGUGAAGGGGCAAUUGUUUCGGAUAUCGAAAUGAGCUGCAUUGGUUGAUGCAAAGAAGAGAGUGGCACAUAGGAUGCAGAAGACUAGGAGGUUUCUGAAAAUACUCAUUUUGGAGGUGGUGUUUUUUUU
rnacentral:lncRNA from 1 species